rnacentral:misc_RNA from 1 species
GAAAUGCGAUAAGUAGUGUGAAUUGCAGAAUUCAGUGAAUCAUCGAAUCUUUGAACGCACAUUGCGCCCCUUGGUAUUCCAUGGGGCAUGCCUGUUCGAGCGUCAUUUGUACCCUCAAGCUCUGCUUGGUGUUGGGUGUUUGUCCCGUCUCCGCGCGUGGACUCGCCCCAAAGUGAUUGGCAGCCGGCGUACUGGUCCCGGAGCGCAGCACAUGUCGCGCAAACGAGUGCCUUGGUACGGCGGCGUCCAUAAGCCCCUCUCUCACGCUCUUAACCUCGGAUCAGGUAGGGAUACCCGCUGAACUUAAGC